rnacentral:misc_RNA from 1 species
CCAAACUUGGUCAUUUAGAGGAAGUAAAAGUCGUAACAAGGUUUCCGUAGGUGAACCUGCGGAAGGAUCAUUAGAGAGAUCGAAAUAUCCAUACCCACCUUGUGUGCACUCAUUGACCGUUUGCUUUGGCAGGGGAAAGGGGGGGGCACCCUCACCGUGUCUUCCCCCGUGAGGCCGAGUUUUCCAUUAUUUGGAGAUUGGCCUCAGCCUGCCAGAGUUUUCCUUGAAACUCACGCUUUUCUUUUUUUUUUUCGGACUGAACCCUUCGUCUCGAUUAAAAAAUCGGUCGAAUUUUUUGAUACAACUUUCAACAACGGAUCUCUUGGCUCUCGCAUCGAUGAAGAACGCAGC